rnacentral:rRNA from 1 species
UUUUAACGGCCGCGGUAUUUUGACCGUGCAAAGGUAGCAUAAUCAUUAGUCUUUUAAUAGAGGGCUGGAAUGAAAGGUUUAACGAAACAUUAGCUGUCUCAUAUUUAUAAUUUAAAAUUUAAUUUUUAAGUUAAAAAGCUUAAAUUUUGUUGGAGGACGAGAAGACCCUAUAGAGUUUUAUAUUAGAAAUUUUAAUGAAGGUUUUGUUAAAUAUUUUAAAUUAAUUUUUUUAAUAUUUUGUUGGGGUGACAAAUAAAUAUGAAUAACUUUUUUAUUUUAUAUACAUAAAUUUAUGAAUAUUUGAUCCAUUAUUAUUGAUUAUUAGAUUAAAUUACCUUAGGGAUAACAGCGUAAUCUUUUUUUGGAGUUCAAAUUUACAAAAAGGCUUGCGACCUCGAUGUUGGAUUAAGAUAAUAAUUUGGUGCAGUAGCUAAAUUAAUAGGUCUGUUCGACCUUUAAAUUCUUACAUGAUCUGAGU